GAAAGACAUGUGGGCUCACGCACACCCAAAUUAAGACAUCAGCUCUGCUACAGCCCUUGUGGUGGUGUCUCUGAAGUCAUUUACUUCCCCAUGACAAGGGUCUAUAUGGACCUUUCACUGCUGGAACGCACCGAUGAGUUCAGCUGCCUCCUCCUCGUUAUGGACAUGAUAUGGUGCCCGGAAGCCACUUUGGCAUGAGAAGAAGGCUGGAAACUCCCUUGACUCUCCAAAGGCAGCUACACAGACUCCCUGAGUCUCCUGCAGCAGUGGAGAUGAGACAAGCAGAUAAGCACAUGUUCGAGCUUACCAAUAAGACAGAACUUUGCAUGCUAUUUCCAAGCUGUUUAAAAGCCACCUGGAUUGAAGCUGGAAAGUACACUAUUGCUGUACAGAAAAUACUAUAAUAGAAAGUCUGUGUACCAUACCUGGCUGAGGACGUAAGGAAGAUCUCUCCGAGACACUUUAACUACAUUUUUACUGCCUGCCAAGAACUGAAGUUCCUCAUCUGUGAGGCCAAUAUGGAUUCUGCCCCUUAAAAUACCCACAGUGGCUGGCACUGCCCCAUUUGUCGUUACAAUUUCUUCCACCUCUCUGGCCAUGCUAGAAUGAGAUAGACAAGAGCAUGGUUACAAAACUAACAAUCCGACUGAAAAUUUGCCAUAUUUGAUGGCUGUUAUUGCCAGUUUCCAGUUCUAUACAGUUCUCAUCAUUUCAGCUAAGGCCAAGACCUCCUCUCUAUCUUCCUAAUGACAGAAGUCUUUGCACUUGCUUUUGCAGCAGUCCAGAGCUACCCAGUGCUCCUGUUUUCAAUGCCCAAGCUCUGCGCUUCAUUUCUGAGGCAGCAUCUGAAAAAUAACCUGGCUUAGAGGGAAAUCUGAUUGUACAAAAGACUACUGAAUAUAGGGGAUCUUCUCAAAAUAGAACCUUUUUGUAUCUAUCAGCCAGUAUUUCUGAGAUCAUAGACCUUCAUGGGAACCCCUGAUAUUUCAAGUCUAAUCAAAUCAUCAGGAUAGACCUCGUAUAGCACAGACAUUCAGAUACAGGAUAAAAACAGUGCUGAGAAGUUGCAGCCUGAGGAUCUGCUAAGGCUACAGACCAGGUCUUUUAAAGUUUUGCAAGUUUUUAAAGUUUUUGCAUACUUUUUAAAGUUUUGCAUACUUGCUCAUUCACAUGCUACUCUAUCUUUUUUAAGAGCAGCUUUUCUCCCUUUCAGAGCUAUCUGUAGGUACCCCAGGCAACCUCUAAGUACUUUUUCCCAAAAACUAAAUCUGUAGAGCUUCAUUCUAAGACAGAGUGUCAGACAAAAUAAUGCCCAUGUAAAAAGCAGGAUGGAAAAAUCAAUACAGAAACCUUCCUGUGCUUUGUUAACACAAGGACAGGGGAAACUGUCACCCACUGACUGGGGAGAUUGAUGUGAUUUUUUGCACCGUCACUCAGCGGGACACAAAUCUAUGGGACAUCAAUAAAUAAAAGGCAGAGAUGGGUUUUCCUUGUGCAGGGCACAGAAGGCAGCAAGAAGGACCAGCAGCUUUCACAGUAGACGUUUUGAAAGGAACCAGUGAGCAGAUUUCACUAUUGUGUUCUAUUCCUUUCUGUACUAUAAAAGGUAUACCCAGGGAAACUGAACAGUGUUUCCCAUGUCUGUACAUAUCAUGCAGCCAUAAGUUAUCUCUAUUUUAGAGUAAGUGAUGACUUUAUAUGCUGCCACAUUUUAAAGGAAGCCAGGAAUUGAAGGUGAUGGAUAAAGAAAUACAUUGGUACGCGUUUGUCAUAUGGUUCUGUUCUCCUUGGAAGACCACAACAGUUUUACACCAGAAUUCAUAUUCUGCAUGUCUAGCAACCUGACAUCUCCAUCCACUCUUAGGAGGGUUUUGGGUAGACCAGGAAUACAUAUACUGAUCCAUCAGUUAUAUGACUUAUUCUUUGUUGAACUAGGAACAUAAAAAUUCACAACCUCAGAUUCUGAGGAUAGGUCAUGCCAUGGGUAAUGAUGGUGCUUUCCAAGGCUACAACUGGUCUCCCCUCCAUCAGUGCUUCCUGUAUGGAGGGCUGAAUCCUGAAAUAAGCACCUAGGGAUAAAUACAACAAAAUUAAUUAUUUGCAGUAACUACUGGCUAUUUGAUUAAAGGUAAAUUUUCAUCAUCACAGUAAAUUUAUCCCCCUUUUCAGCUGUUCUUUGAGGUGAAUUUAAUUUGAAUCCACAGAUAACUUCAAGAACACUAAAACUGUGUUUUUUAUAUUUAUUAACUAUUUGCAAAAAAGCAUUACCACUACUACUAAUACUAAUUAUACUGGCUAAUACUAAAUAUAUAAAAAUACUACUAAUACAUCAUCAUCAUCACUGAGUGAUGUUCCUCUCCCACCAUUUUUACAGCUCUGUUCUGUCAUUUGCUCCCGUAACAUAAAUUUAAAUUGACAUUAUUGUGAGUGAAAGAACUGAGACCUGCAACCCAUCAUGUCUGAAGAAUGACACGUGUUUUAAAAGAGUAGAAGUGCUGAGAAUAUCAUAAUAAUUCAAGAUAUUGUGAGUAUCAUGCAUGAAAAUUUCACCUAUUUAUGAUGUCAUUAUCAAACAACACACACUCCUGUGCAUUGAAGACUUGAAGUAGCCUCCCGAAAGCUGAAAAAGCUCAUCUGCUCUGCUUUGCUCCCAAAAUACUGCCAGCAAGGUCCCUCCAAAAUUCAGAUGAGGAAAAUGCUUUCCACACAGGGACUGUUUCAGAAUACACUACUCACCAUGCAGACAUCUUCUCACCUGGAUCGUCCUACUUGCCACAGAGGACAUGUGUCUUCCCAGUCUACAGGUCAUCUCCCUAAUCACCUUUUGCAUCAGGAUAGUCCUGAGGUUCCAAAAGUCAGGUAGAAAUGAAAGCAGUUAUUUAGCAAUGAUGUGACCAUAUGAAGCUAAAUGUAUCACUUCUUGCCCUGAUCUCGAAGGUAAAACAAUCCUGGACUUGCCCAGAAGACUGCCUGGAAACUCGUGGUGUUCUAAGCACAAGCCAGGGAGCCAAAGCAAAAUGUCUGACUGUGGAAACGAGGUGGGAAGUGUCCACCCUGGCUCUUGACAGUGCUGAACUCAAAUUGUGAAGGGGUAGAGGGAAGGAUGAGGAGUAAUGAGCGAGUGAUAAACCUUUUACUUUCCCAAGCUCCUUGUUCAUGACAAAUUGCAGGCUCAGCCAUCAUCACCUCCAACCUGAAAAAUCUCAAGGAGAGCUCAGGGAGAAAGCUACAAGGCUGACACAGGCAGAGGAAUGCUAUAAAAAGAUGAUUUUGCCAGUGUCUUGGAGGAAACAAGCAGUUCAGUAAAAUAAAGAAACUAAGCUGACAAUCAGAAAGCCAGAUUGUAACUACAGGGAGGAAAGAGCAGCUCUCCCUAGAGCCAAGGGUGCUUUAUGCAUGCUCACAUUACAUCAUCUUCUUUCUUAGCACAAAGUGCUGGAGGCAAAGCCACAGUUCGGUCCCAGCAAAAACUCCAGGACCUCCUCUUGUCUCUUAGCAACUCCUAUUCACUUUAAUUAAAUUCAUCUCCAAACUGAGAAAGAGGGAGAGAGAGUUAUGAAUGCCAGACUGGUCUGGUCUGAGCCUCAGGGCAGCUGCAUUUAAUGCCUGGCUCCUUCACAGAUUUUUCUCUGGGCCUUUUGCCAUAUCCUUCAAGCCUUUCUAUUCCUCAACCCUCAACCAGGAAGAAAGGAUUUCUUUCUUCUGUCCUGUGUACCUAUAGUCCAUUUAGAUGGUAAAUUAAUUUGAAUACUGUACUGUGUUCAUGUUAUAUCUAGCGGAAUAUGGCUCUGAUCUCUGUAUAGUAUGUGGUACUACAGCAAUACAGAAAUAUCUUACACUCAAGAAGAUUUUCUUGCUAGAAUGUAAAGACUUCAGACAUAUAGGACAGCUUGGACUUUGUCACAGAGGAAGAGGCACCAGUUCUGCUAGACCUCUUUCAAGCCAUGAAGACAGACAUGGUCUGUCCUGCCUGCAUCUGACCUAAACAAUGAGGUUUUUUUUCCACCUUCUCAAUCCUUAUUAAGAGAAAAAUCCCACUUAAGUGUAUAGAAUCAGAUCAUGAUUCAAAGGUGGCAAAAUCUCUACUUCAUACUUAAAAUCUCUGCUUAUGCAAUGCUAAACUCAGCAGUUGGCAGCCUGAAGAGUUCAUGCAAAUGUACUGUAAUUGCUGUGUGUGUGCAUACACACCCCUCACUCUCUAGGGCAAAGUCAGCUUUGGAAUAAAUUCAUUAAGCCAACAAAGUCACACCAAGGAUCACUUGGGCUGCUUGAGCUGUGCUUUGAAUUUGAACAAACCCCCAAACUCUAAGUGAAACAGCAAAAAGUGCCCAAGCUGUACUGUCCUGUGGAUGAAAACCAGCUGGUCACCACCUGAAACCCUAUAUGAAUUAGCUGAUUUUGCUAGAAACUCUGCCAACAUUCAGCGUAAGCUGGCUGAAAGACUCUUGACGCUUGGCAAGUAUUCCAGAGAAACCUGUCGGACUUUUUGAUUUGUAACAAAAGUUUGCAGAUUCCUAGCAAUAGUUUCACACAGCUCUAGUAUAGAUCAGCUUUCUGCCCUACUCCAGACCUUCCCUCCUAGUCUCCCCUGGUGAUCAAUCAGGCGCAUUUGAUUUUACGAAGCAACGGCCUGAUGUGUCUCUUACCUCUGGGUGCUUGUCCCACAUACGGAGGUUGCAGUCUAAACUGGAGUUGUGCCUAAGCCACCCCGGGAGGAGGCGGGACAAGAGGGGCUGGCAGCGGCAUUGGCGUGAUCAGGCCUGUGCUCCAGCAAUGUGCUCCUUGCUGGGAUAGCCCAUUUAUUAUUAACUACCAGAGCAGCUGCACUGCGGAGCUGCUCUCUGCCUGGGGUGAAGGGGGCAAUUUUACAACGGGGUGAGGAAAGCGUCUGCUAUUAUUUUUUUUUCCACUUGGUGCCAGAUUUCCCCAUACUUUUUAAAAGACUUUUCUCAUUUUUCAGAUUCCCUUAUUGUUGUUGUUGUUGUUUUUUAAUCAGUGAAUUCAAUGUUCAUUAAAACAAUACCUUUGUA